rnacentral:tRNA from 1 species
GCAUUGGUGAUUCAGUGGUAGGAUUCCGUCCUUUCAUGCCGGAGACCUGGGUUUGAUUCUUGGCCAAUGCA